rnacentral:lncRNA from 1 species
AUUCCCAGGCUAGGGGUCAAAUUGGAGCUGCAGCUGCUGCCCAUGCUAUAGCCACAGCAAUGCGGGAUCUAAGCCAUAUCUGUGACAUACACCACAGCUCAUGGCAACACGGGAUCCUUAACCCACUGAGCAAGGCCAGGGAUCAAACCUGCCUCCUCAUGGAUGCUAGUUGGGUUCUUAAUCCUCUGAGCCACACCAGGAACUCCUAGUAUCUGGUGUGAAGAGGAGAGUUCCAAUAAUUAGUCCUUGUUACUAGAGGCUCUAACUUUCCACUUCCACAGUGCAUUUCAUACAGGCACCCUCACAUACUCCUUUGCAAGAGGGAGAGGAGGAUAGGGAGGAGGAGAGGAAGAAAGAGAAGAAGAAGGUAUUGCAGUACACCAGGCAGGUGAUGAGGGUGGUUUGGAUUGGGGUGGUGGCAGGACAGAUGAAGAGAAUGCCAAGUUUGGGGGUAUAUUUCAAAGGUGGAAACUUUGGACUUGAAUGUAGAUUGGAUGUGGGUUUGGAGGCAGAAAGAAGGUAGAGAAUGACUUCCCAGCUUCUGGCUUCAUCACUUCCGUGAAUGGUGGUGUGAGAACACUAGAGGAAGAGCUGUGCUUUGAGGAGCAGUGGGCAUGGAGGAAGCAGCAGCAGGAGUUGACUUUGGGACCUUGUAAGCUGAUGAGAUGACAUCCUACUGGAAAUGACAAGGAUGCAGCUGAAGCUCAGAGCGAGAGGUCUGGACUGGAGAUAAUUUGGAAAGUCUCUGACCUGUAUGUAGAGGCAAGAAAGACUAAAAUAAUUCACCACAUGAUUUUCCUACAAGGUAAUCUUUCAGAUGUGUAUGGAUAGGUGUUUUGUUUUGUUUUGUUUUUAGGGCCACACCUGUGGCAUAUGAAAGUUCCUGGGCUAGGGAUAGAAUCAGAGCUGCAGCUCCUGAGAACUUCCAUAUGCCACAGGAGCAGCCCAAGAAAUGGCAAAAAAAAAAAAACCAAAAAGAUACAUGCACCCCAAUGUUCACUGCAGCACUAUUUAUAGUAGCCAAGACAUGGAAGCAAUCUAAAUGUCCAUUGACAGAGGAAUGGAUAAAAAUGUGGUACAUAUAUACACAAUGGAAUAUUGCUCAGCCAUAAAAAAGGAAAACCAAUGCCAUUUGCAGCAACAUGAAUGGACACAGAGAUUAUCAUACUGACUGAAGUCAGAGAAAAAAUUAUCAUAUGAUAUCGCUUCUAUGUGGAAUCUAAAAAAAAAUGAUACAAAUGAAUUUUUUUUUACCAAACUGAAACAGACUCACAGAUUUUGAAAACAAAUCUAUGGUUACCAAAGGGGGAGGAUGGGGGUUAGGGAUAAAUUAGGAGUGUGUGAUUAACAUAUUCUCACUACUAUAUAUAAAAUAGAUAACUAACAAGGACCUACUCCAUAGCACAGAGAAUUCUACUCAGUAUUCUGUAAUAACCUAUGUGGGAAAAGAAUCUCAAAAAGAAUGGAUAUGUGUAUAUGUUUAACUGAAUCACUUUGCUCUACACCUGAAACUAACACAACAUUGUCAAUUAACUAUACUCCAAUAUAAAAAGAAAACUAGAUUUUAAAAAAUGGUGUGAGAAAAGAAUCCAACUUCAUUCUUUUCCAUGUGGAAGUCCAACUGUUCUGAGCACCUUCUUCUCACCCCCCUCUUCUGAUUUCGAUCAAAUAUUUGGGGGAAAUUUUCAAUUUCUAAAACUAUUCCUGGAAUUGGGAAUACUGAAUAUUUCACUUCCUGAAAAUAUCUGAGGUUUCCAAACUAAAUUCUAGUUCUAACUCCUGCUUCUUAAGAGAAGGAAAAAGUCACAGGAUAAUUUGUACAUUAGAAUUGGUAAGUGGAAAUGCUUUAAAAAUUGGGGGUAAUCCUUGGUGAUUUAAGCAAAGGGAUAAAUUAAAGACCCUUUUUAAAAGUAAAGAGACAAUCUACAUUAUUAAGAGACAAAAAUGUUGAGCUGAUAACUUCCUAACUAUUAUCCAACUUCACAGGGACAGAGCUAGAGAAAAUACACAUAUCUAUCUUGCAAGUGGAAACUUCGACACCAAGAAAAGAUUUUAACUGGAAAAUUAAAAAUUAUAAUGCUUACUGAGAACCUACCAUGUUUUAGUCUCUGUUUUGAGCCCCAUGAGAUAGGGACGAUUAUCACCACAGAUGAACUUGGACUUGAACCCAAGUGGUCCAACACUGUGCCCAUUUAUCCACUCUGCUAAAACACCUUUGUUAAAAGUGAACCCAUCUUUGAACACUCCUCCAUCCUGGGAAAAUCCAUUGCCUUUCCAUCAGCAGAGAAUUUCAAAAUAGGAUGGACAUUUAUCAGUCGAAUGAAAUUCAUAGUCCUGGCACAUUCGAUGGCAUCAAUCUGAUUCUAUUCAAACACCAGUCACUUUCUUACCACUUUUCUUUUCAAAAAACAGAAAGAUAAUCUCUUACCCUCAUCCUUUCUCCAAAAUAUCCAGCAGGGUACUUUUAAAUGUUUCGUAACUACAUAAACCUCCUCCUGGGUAAUAUGGACAAAUGCCCAGUGACACAUCAUGGGGAAACAUAAUACCCUCUUUCCCCCUUUUAAAUCUUUGGGGCUUUGUUUUAAUAAGUCAUGGAGAUGUUAACCUUUCAGGUGGAUUUGCAAAUCCUUUUUACUUAAUACAAUUUUGUUUGUGUUCUGAAAACCAAGGACAUUGAAGUACUUAUUCCCUGCUGAAUAAGGCAUUGUGUACAUGUGUCCUUGUUUUCUCUGAAAACACCUCUUAACCUUCAUACAUCUCCUCAGGGCUCUAGCAUGUGAGCUUGUUACAUAUUGUUCCCUUUGUAAGAGAUAAUGUGAUGUGCUAGGACAGGAAUGCUCUUAUAACAACAUCCCCAUUUUCUUAACCCCCUGGUUCCCCUCAUCAUCAUUUCCAUUAUUCUCCUUCAGCUGAAUCUAUGGAGAAAGCAAGAAGUAAUUCAUCUAUGUAACAAGGAAACAGGGCCUGAAAUGGCAAGGUUUUCACCUGCAUAAUCACAGAGUAUAUUAGUGGCAGACUUGGAGCUCUAGCACACAUCUUCGGAGUAUAGUAGAGUGUGAAGAGCAAUGGUUUUCAACUGGAGAGAUUUUGCAUCAUCACCUCCCUAGUGUACACUGGGAAAUGUCUGGAGACAUUUUUUUUUUGGUUGUCACAAAUGGGGUGGGAAAUGGUGCUGAAGACAGCAGAAGCAAGAGGAUCCGAAUUACAGAAAGAGGAAGUAGAGUGGUAUGGAAGACAAGGCUGAAAGAGUUUCAAAAACAUGAGUGCAGGCAACAGUAUCAAAUGCCACAGCAAAAUAAAAGAUCUGAAGUGUCCAAAAGACCUGGUAGUUGGGAGGUAGUGUUAACUUUAGCAUGAAAUAAGCGCCAUGCUGGGAGGAAAAAGUAGACUCAGAUGAUGGUUGCACAACUAUAAAUAAAAUUUAUUGAGUUA